CUAAGCUCAUGGGUUCGAUGUCAGUUGUUACCAGGUUUGUCAGCAUCAAACCGGUGCUCAUGUUUCACCAAAUAAUAAUCAUUGGAAAUCAGCAUCAUUUCGGGGAGAGGAAACACCAGAAAUGG